rnacentral:rRNA from 1 species
AUACGGAGGAUGCAAGCGUUAUCCGGAUUUAUUGGGUUUAAAGGGUGCGUAGGCGGUUUGCUAAGCGGGAGGUGAAAUGCCGGCGCUCAACGUCGGAAGUGCCUCCCGAACUGGUGGACUUGAAUGACUCUGCCGUGGGCGGAAUGUGUAGUGUAGCGGUGAAAUGCUUAGAGAUUACACAGAACACCGAUUGCGAAGGCAUCUCACGAAGGGUUGAUUGACGCUGAGGCACGAAAGCGUGGGGAUCAAACAGGAUUAGAUACCGUGGUAGUCCACGCAGUAAACGAUGAUGGCUAACCGCUGGGCUUAUCAGUUCAGUGGCCAAGCGGAAGCGAUAAGCCAUCCACCUGGGGAGUACGACCGCAAGGUUGAAACUUAAAGGAAUUGACGGGG